rnacentral:rRNA from 1 species
CUGGCUCAGGACGAACGCUGGCGGCGUGCCUAAUACAUGCAAGUCGAACGAACUCUGGUAUUGAUUGGUGCUUGCAUCAUGAUUUACAUUUGAGUGAGUGGCGAACUGGUGAGUAACACGUGGGAAACCUGCCCAGAAGCGGGGGAUAACACCUGGAAACAGAUGCUAAUACCGCAUAACAACUUGGACCGCAUGGUCCGAGCUUGAAAGAUGGCUUCGGCUAUCACUUUUGGAUGGUCCCGCGGCGUAUUAGCUAGAUGGUGGGGUAACGGCUCACCAUGGCAAUGAUACGUAGCCGACCUGAGAGGGUAAUCGGCCACAUUGGGACUGAGACACGGCCCAAACUCCUACGGGAGGCAGCAGUAGGGAAUCUUCCACAAUGGACGAAAGUCUGAUGGAGCAACGCCGCGUGAGUGAAGAAGGGUUUCGGCUCGUAAAACUCUGUUGUUAAAGAAGAACAUAUCUGAGAGUAACUGUUCAGGUAUUGACGGUAUUUAACCAGAAAGCCACGGCUAACUACGUGCCAGCAGCCGCGGUAAUACGUAGGUGGCAAGCGUUGUCCGGAUUUAUUGGGCGUAAAGCGAGCGCAGGCGGUUUUUUAAGUCUGAUGUGAAAGCCUUCGGCUCAACCGAAGAAGUGCAUCGGAAACUGGGAAACUUGAGUGCAGAAGAGGACAGUGGAACUCCAUGUGUAGCGGUGAAAUGCGUAGAUAUAUGGAAGAACACCAGUGGCGAAGGCGGCUGUCUGGUCUGUAACUGACGCUGAGGCUCGAAAGUAUGGGUAGCAAACAGGAUUAGAUACCCUGGUAGUCCAUACCGUAAACGAUGAAUGCUAAGUGUUGGAGGGUUUCCGCCCUUCAGUGCUGCAGCUAACGCAUUAAGCAUUCCGCCUGGGGAGUACGGCCGCAAGGCUGAAACUCAAAGGAAUUGACGGGGGCCCGCACAAGCGGUGGAGCAUGUGGUUUAAUUCGAAGCUACGCGAAGAACCUUACCAGGUCUUGACAUACUAUGCAAAUCUAAGAGAUUAGACGUUCCCUUCGGGGACAUGGAUACAGGUGGUGCAUGGUUGUCGUCAGCUCGUGUCGUGAGAUGUUGGGUUAAGUCCCGCAACGAGCGCAACCCUUAUUAUCAGUUGCCAGCAUUAAGUUGGGCACUCUGGUGAGACUGCCGGUGACAAACCGGAGGAAGGUGGGGAUGACGUCAAAUCAUCAUGCCCCUUAUGACCUGGGCUACACACGUGCUACAAUGGAUGGUACAACGAGUUGCGAACUCGCGAGAGUAAGCUAAUCUCUUAAAGCCAUUCUCAGUUCGGAUUGUAGGCUGCAACUCGCCUACAUGAAGUCGGAAUCGCUAGUAAUCGCGGAUCAGCAUGCCGCGGUGAAUACGUUCCCGGGCCUUGUACACACCGCCCGUCACACCAUGAGAGUUUGUAACACCCAAAGUCGGUGGGGUAACCUUUUAGGAACCAGCCGCCUAAGGUGGGACAGAUGAUUAGGGUGAAGUCGUAACAAGGGUAACCGUAAGGG